rnacentral:tRNA from 1 species
GGAGAGUUGCCGGAGCGGUUGAUCGGGGCGGUCUCGAAAACCGUUGUGCCCUUGCGGGUACCCAGGGUUCGAAUCCCUGACUCUCCGCCA